ensembl:snRNA U6 U6 spliceosomal RNA
GUGCUCGCUUCAGCAGCACAUACACUAAGAUUGGAAUGAUACAGAGCAGAUUACCAUGGCCUCUGCAUAAGGAUGACAUGCAAAUUUUUGAAGCAGUCCAUGAAAAC